GCAGGUAUUAACUACUAACUUUUCCUCACAACUGAAAGUGCUUUACAACCCUAAGGCCUUCUUCACACACGCGGCAUGGCUGCAUCAGGCUUUCGCCCAUUGUGCAAUAUUCCCC
rnacentral:rRNA from 1 species